rnacentral:rRNA from 1 species
CUACACAUGCAGUCGAGGGGUAGAGUUAGCUUGCUAACUUGAGACCGGCGCACGGGUGCGUAACGCGUAUGCAAUCUACCUUAUACAGGGGAAUAGCCCAGAGAAAUUUGGAUUAAUGCCCCAUAGUAUUAUUGAAUGGCAUCAUUUGAUAAUUAAAGUUCCAACGGUAUAAGAUGAGCAUGCGUCCCAUUAGUUAGUUGGUAAGGUAACGGCUUACCAAGACUAUGAUGGGUAGGGGUCCUGAGAGGGAGAUCCCCCACACUGGUACUGAGACACGGACCAGACUCCUACGGGAGGCAGCAGUGAGGAAUAUUGGACAAUGGGCGCAAGCCUGAUCCAGCCAUGCCGCGUGCAGGAAGACGGUCCUAUGGAUUGUAAACUGCUUUUAUACAGGAAGAAACACCUCUACGUGUAGAGGCUUGACGGUACUGUAAGAAUAAGGAUCGGCUAACUCCGUGCCAGCAGCCGCGGUAAUACGGAGGAUCCAAGCGUUAUCCGGAAUCAUUGGGUUUAAAGGGUCCGUAGGCGGCCUUAUAAGUCAGUGGUGAAAUCUCCUAGCUCAACUA